rnacentral:rRNA from 1 species
UACGGGAGGCAGCAGUGGGGGAUAUUGCGCAAUGGGGGCAACCCUGACGCAGCAACGCCGCGUGAAGGAUGAAGGUUUUCGGAUUGUAAACUUCUUUUGUUAGGGACGAAAAAUGACGGUACCUAACGAAUAAGCUCCAGCUAACUACGUGCCAGCAGCCGCGGUAAU